rnacentral:rRNA from 1 species
GAUGAACGCUGGCGGCGUGCCUAAUACAUGCAAGUCGAGCGAACGGACGAGAAGCUUGCUCCUCUGAUGUUAGCGGCGGACGAGUGAGUAACACGUGGAUAACCUACCUAUAAGACUGGGAUAACUUCGCGAAACCGGAGCUAAUACCGGAUAAUAUUUUGAACCGCAUGGUUCAAAAGUGAAAGACGGUCUUGCUGUCACUUAUAGCUGGAUCCGCGCUGCAUUAGCUAGUUGGUAAGGUAACGGCUUACCAAGGCAACGAUGCAUAGCCGACCUGAGAGGGAGGACGGCCACACUGGAACUGAGACACGGCCCAGACUCCUGGGGGAGGCAGCAGUAGGGAAUCUUCCGCGAUGGGCGAGAGCGUGACGGAGCAAAGCCGCGUGAGUGAUGAAGGUGUUCGGAUCGUAAAACUCUGUUAGUAGGGAAGAACAUAUGUGUAAGUAACUGUGCACAUAUUGACGGUACCUAAUCAGAAAGCCACGGCUAACUACGUG